UCCACUGAUUUUGAAAGAAAGCCCUCUCUGACGCGUUCUCAUGCUGUGCGAUUUCAAGGGGCGAGAGAAGGAGUGAGGUGGAAAAAGGGAGAGGACAGAUGGAAUAGAAGAUCACUUUCUAAAACUUAAAAACUGUCAGUUCUUCUAAACAUCACCUGACGAUAUCUGUGAUGUUGAUUGUCUUUUGAUUUGUAACGGUCUAUUGCACUUUUUUCUGUUAGAAGGUAUUUAGUUCUAUGCAUACACUCGGCCUGGUGUAUUACAGUGUGUGGUCCUACUUUCAGCAGUUAGACUCUUAGCUUAUGUUCUGCGUGGAAAACUGUGUGUUAUGAACAAAACUGCUGUUUUGUUCAAAGCACUGCAUUGUACUUAAAGCACUGUGUACAAGGCAACAGACAAGGUGUAUUUCUCAACAUCAUAUAUACUGUAGAUGUGGGAGGUUAGCACAAAAAUGGCUUGAGAAAUGAGUACUGAGGUUGAUCACAAACCAAGAACUGCGCCUCAGUGGUCAAAUAUUGGCAGCCAUUUUUGUGGUUUUGUCUGCCUCCAACAAAUCAGGUGUAAAUUGUUUUACUAGGAGCAGUAAAGCCAGUUUUGCCAGGUGCCAACUGGGAUACAUUUGAGCUAACUGGGUAGGCUUGUGUGAAAACCUGAUGGUGUUCUAGGUCACAAUUAUGCAGAUAUCUAGAAAAUUCUAGAAAAGGGUUAACAAACUUUCAAGCACCACUGUAUAUACUUAAACAAGGGCUCUCUUUUGAACUGCCUCAGUAGACUAGGAAUAAUCUGUGUAUAUGCAAAUGUGUGAUGAUAACUCAAAUCCUGCUUGACUGCCCAUUUUUAGUGGAUAGGAGCCUUAAAUGCAGCUCUCGUAUAUCAAACAGAUCACCAACCAUAGGCUUAUACCAUCACUAUAUGGAAGACUUAGAUUAUUGAUGUUGUAGAAAAUGUAAGUAAGUACAGUAUUAAUAAUAAAUCAGUUGACAAGGUUCCAAAAUGUAUAGAUAUUUAACAUCCCUGAGCUGCUGCAGUUGGAAGAACAUCUUUGCCAGCUAGAAAGUUGACCAAAUUGAUCAAUAAACAUUUCCAUCUAUCUUGUAACGAUAAACUGUUUCCGUCUAUCACCAAUUACCAGCGGACAAAGAUGGCCUACCAGUUUGACCAGCUCAGCCUUUGUUUUGUCUUGGUAGCUUGAAAAACUAGAUUUUUCAACAGGGAGUUCAAGUCUGGUUUGGUCACAUGGAUGAGUCUGCAGCUCAUCUAAAACUGCAGUUACUUUCUAGGUAAUGUUCACAGAUCGCUUUCCAUUGACAUUCCACACAUGCUACACCUAUGGGAGCAUCCACUUUGUGGAUGAACUGACAGACAACAUCAAAGCCAUGUUCUGGAAAUAAAAGCAAAUUGUAUUUCUCAAAGAGAAACUGAUCAACAAAUUUCAACAAAAUCAAGCAUGUGGAAAAAAUAUGUAACAUGUAUGACGUUUAUUAGACUAUCG
ensembl:lncRNA